GGAUUGGAUUGAUAUCAAUGACAUGGUUACUGCAUUGUCGUUUACACCUGACGGUCAGGGUGCUAUUGUUGGUACCCACAAGGGCGGUUGUCGUACAUAUAGCACAAAAGAUUGCAAACUAACUCAAACAGGAACAAUUGAGAUUUCACAAAAGAAAUCCCAACUAAGAAAAGUCACUGGUUUUCAGUUUGUUCCAGGCAAACCAUCAGAAAUUCUUGUAACUUCGGCAGAUUCAAGAAUAAGAAUAUUGGAAGGUUCAGAAGUAGUUCAAAAGUA
rnacentral:sRNA from 1 species